GGUUGAUCCUGCCAGUAGUCAUAUGCUUGUCUCAAAGAUUAAGCCAUGCAUGUCUAAGUGUAAGCAUCUUAUACUGUGAAACUGCACAUGGCUCAUUAAAUCAGUUAUGGUUUAUUUGAUGGUACCUUACUACAUGGAUAACCGUAGUAAUUCUAGAGCUAAUACAUGCGUAAAGUCCCGACUCUCGCGGGGAGGGAUGUAUUUAUUAGAUUAAAAACCAAUGCAGGGCUUCGGCUCUGGUAUUGUGGUGAUUCAUAAUAACUUUUCGGACCGCAUGACCUUGCGUCGGCGG
rnacentral:rRNA from 1 species